AUGAACGCUGGCGGCGUGCCUAAUACAUGCAAGUCGAGCGAACGGACGAGAAGCUUGCUUCUCUGAUGUUAGCGGCGGACGGGUGAGUAACACGUGGAUAACCUACCUAUAAGACUGGGAUAACUUCGGGAAACCGGAGCUAAUACCGGAUAAUAUUUUGAACCGCAUGGUUCAAAAGUGAAAGACGGUCUUGCUGUCACUUAUAGAUGGAUCCGCGCUGCAUUAGCUAGUUGGUAAGGUAACGGCUUACCAAGGCAACGAUGCAUAGCCGACCUGAGAGGGUGAUCGGCCACACUGGAACUGAGACACGGGCCAGACUCCUACGGGAGGCAGCAGUAGGGAAUCUUCCGCAAUGGGCGAAAGCCUGACGGAGCAACGCCGCGUGAGUGAUGAAGGUCUUCGGAUCGUAAAACUCUGUUAUUAGGGAAGAACAUAUGUGUAAGUAACUGUGCACAUCUUGACGGUACCUAAUCAGAAAGCCACGGCUAACUACGU
rnacentral:rRNA from 1 species